AUACGGAGGGGGUUAGCGUUGUUCGGAAUUACUGGGCGUAAAGCGCACGUAGGCGGACUGGAAAGUUGGGGGUGAAAUCCCGGGGCUCGACCCCGGAACUGCCUCCAAAACUUCCAAUCUAGAGAUCGAGAGAGGUGAGUGGAAUUCCAAGUGUAGAGGUGAAAUUCGUAGAUAUUUGGAGGAACACCAGUGGCGAAGGCGGCUCACUGGCUCGAUACUGACGCUGAGGUGCGAAAGCGUGGGGAGCAAACAGGAUUAGAAACCCCAGUAGUCC
rnacentral:rRNA from 1 species